rnacentral:rRNA from 1 species
AUUGAACGCUGGCGGCAGGCUUAACACAUGCAAGUCGAGCGGGGUGAUGGUGCUUGCACUAUCACUUAGCGGCGGACGGGUGAGUAAUGCUUAGGAAUCUGCCUAUUAGUGGGGGACAACAUCUCGAAAGGGAUGCUAAUACCGCAUACGUCCUACGGGAGAAAGCAGGGGAUCUUUAUGACCUUGCGCUAAUAGAUGGGCCUAAGUCGGAUUAGCUAGUUGGUGGGGUAAAGGCCUACCAAGGCGACGAUCUGUAGCGGGUCUGAGAGGAUGAUCCGCCACACUGGGACUGAGACACGGCCCAGACUCCUACGGGAGGCAGCAGUGGGGAAUAUUGGACAAUGGGGGGAACCCUGAUCCAGCCAUGCCGCGUGUGUGAAGAAGGCCUUAUGGUUGUAAAGCACUUUAAGCGAGGAGGAGGCUCUUUUGGUUAAUACCCAGAAUGAGUGGACGUUACUCGCAGAAUAAGCACCGGCUAACUCUGUGUCAGUAGCCGCCGUAA